AAGUCAAACUGCAUCCCAGUUUGCAGUUUAUGAGAAACUUGAAAAUACUGGUACUAAAUGGGAAAUUUAUCCAUAACUACACAACAGAAGGCACUCCAUUAGACACAAAUACUGCUUUUCCCUCUGGUAUAUCUGCUCUAUUUGUCUCCUGAACAAUUAAACCUAACAAGAUCAGUGAAUCAGUACUAGCAGGUCAGAACAGGAUAGUUUGUUUAGAUUUCUGGUAGGUGAUGAAGUGCUCUGUUGUGUGUGAGGGAGGAACUUGUUUUUUUUCCCCUCUGAGGGUGGUGGUGGUGAAGUAUAUAAAGACAUAGCUGAUACCAGAAAUGCAAGUCAGGGCACAAUUAGUAAUAUAAUUGCACCAUAGUAGCAAUAAUUAUUAUAAUUACUUUUAUUUACAUAAAUUUAAUUCUGUGCUAAAUCCUGUAAUUAAUGUUAUGGAGACAUUGUGAUCUGUGGCUUGUGAAGUGAAAGAUGAUUCAAAUAGAGUUUUCCCCUUGCAGGGUGAACAGUAACUUCCUUUUUGAGGCUAAGAAAUGUGGUUUUACACUUUAAAUUACAACAAUCAAUUUCUUGAAAAGACUCAGCCAAGUCUAGGAAGGCACUGCGUCCUCUGGGCACUGUUUAGUAUUCACCAAGAGCAAAGGAGAGAGAAGUCUGCUCAACUGCAUCUGGAGUCUAACUGAUCGCUGCUUGGAGUCAAAACAUAGCACCUGGCAAUAACAGGCUCAAGCCAGAGUCUGAAGGGUGAAGUCCCCAGCAGUGGGUACAAGGACAGGAAGAUGAAAUGGCAGUAUGGAAAGGGAAUGGCACAGCACCUACCGCUUCUAUUGGGGGUGGAAUUACAGAGGAGUUGCAGCUCUUUACUAGAGGCUGCCAGGUAGUGGGACUUGGAACAACUAGUGAGAAACUAAAUAAUGAAGAGAAGCAAAGGCUUGGGGCUAGAAGUGGUGUUGCUGUUUAGAGGACAGGAAGCUCUUCUUAAGGAACAAUGAGCUGGAGGAUUUGGGGGCAAGUAUACUGAGAAAGGAGGGUUGGGUAAUGUGGGGGAUGGAUGAUGUCUUGGGAGAUGAAAACCAGGAAAACUGCUGAUAUUUUAUCUUGGCAGUCUGUCAUGCCUAUCCUUUGAUUUCUGGUAACCCCACACUGAUUUGGAGCAUAUGCCAUAAAGAAUAGGAAGAAAAUAGCAUACAAGGUCCCCUACAGUGGGGGGAAAACGUGGCCUGGGCGCAUGAGAGAUUUUCUAAGUUGGAAUAUGUCACUGAGGUGGGAUGAUACAUAUAUGCUGUAGUAUGUGCUGCAAUGUGACCAAUACAUUGACCAAAGAGGCUCCCACUGGUGUGGACAGCAAGCAUGUGCUGAGGCAAUGCCCCAGCCCAGGUGGUGUGCUUGGAGCCAUUAGCUCUAAUAAUUAACUUUACAACUUCUCUCAGCUGGGUCCAGGUGGCUAACAGGGCUGAGGGAGGAUUUGCAGGGCCAGGAAACAAUUUGCUUUAAAAAGUUCAAAUAUAUAAACCUGAUGAAGAUAUGCCAUCAAUAGAUUGAAUAAGCACUCUAAGGGUGUUUAUAACAACAGAUGGUUUCUGUAGGGUUUUACUGGCUUCUUGCUGCUACUCAUACUUCUGCUAGGACUAAGCAUGAGUCAAAGACUGCUACCUGAAGGCUUUUGAGGAAACCGCCUGGCUUUGGAAAGGGAGUGACUGGAGUCUGCAUCACACUAGGAAAUCUUGGAGAGGAGGUUGACCUGCUUUGGACUUCUAUGUAGAUUUGAGCUAACAAAGAGGGUGAACAUCCAGCAAGGCCAUAUGGCACCCUCGCUGGUGACAGGCUGCAUCUGAAUGGUGAGUUAUCCUAGAGAAGAGUGCAUAACCUUUGAGCACUGAUGACCCACUGUCAAACACUAGGUGUGCUUGCUGCCUGGAAGAAUGACACAGCCUUAGGAGAACUGCAAGGAGGCUAAAAAGGAGGAAAAGAAGAGCACGUGUUGGUUGGGAGGGCUUAUGAAAAUUCCCGCUAAGCAAAUGCUUCAGUGAUUAAAAAGAGGAGAGGUGCCUCUGCCUGUCCUCUCCUCCCCUUCCUGCUCAAGGAGUACUGAUGCUUUUUGCCUUUUAAAUCUCACUAAUGUUGCUGGGGCUUGAAUUUGGCCUUUAAACUUCUAAAAUCCUUUUUGGUGGUGUUACCCUGUGAACAAGGCAAUGGUUUCUUCCGUGCUUCACUUUUUAGCAAUUGGGAAUUCCCUGGUUGUGAUCCCAGCUGGAACCAGUGCUAUGCUUGGAUGCUGCUGAAACCUGCACCACUGUACCUUGUGCACUUAGAGCCAGGUGCUCCCUCACUGGGGCAAUGGAAUCACUGCCUCUCCUUUGCCAGCACAGAGGGUACUGGGAUCCUGCCUUGAGGUCUGCAAGGACUGAUGUCCCUCCAAAAGGUCCCUUCAUCUCCUCUGCUACACAUACAAGCAACAAGCUUCAGAAAAGAGAGCAGUGAUACUGGACUUCUUCCACAGUUGGCCCAGGUGAGAGAUUCCAGUAUACUGGAAGCACAAUGAUGCUCAAAUGGCCAUUUCACAGCAGGUUGUGCUGGAGGCCGAGUGUUAGGAUUUGGCUUAGAGAUGUGUGGGAUGCCAGGGCGAGGAAACUGAGGCGCAGCCGGCCUGCGAAUCGCACUGUCCUAAACUCAUCUGAAGGAAAGGAAACUGGAGAAGAAAAUCUGACUUCUGGAGCUGCUUAGCACAGACUGUUCUUGCAGAGAUCAAUAAACUGAAGGAAUCUGGGGCCUAAGAAAACCAAGAGCAUGUACAGAUCUAGAAAUCGGUAUCUGGAAGAAGAAAGUCUGUGAAGUAUGCCGUUACUGCAGUGGAUGACCUCAAUGUACAGUGCCUCACAGGAGUGGGUCUGUAGCAACAGAUAGUGAAGUUGUCCUUCUUGGAUGUGCAGUGAUUUUGUUAUGAUCUCUUUAAAUCUUCAAUCAAGUCUUCAGAAACCAUCUAUGAAAAAAGACUAUCCAAAUGCCAACUGCAAACAUGGAAUGGGGAGAAGGAGGCCCAGGGGUUUAAAA